AGAGAGGCUUUGCAUCAAAUGGUUCUUCUUAGGGCGUAUAAGGAGAAGAAACAAAGCCGUACAAAGAGGGCUCUUCCUUGGGCAUAAACCACCAUUUUUCGUUUUAUCUGAAAUCUUCGUCUCUCUCGUAAGAUCUAACCGCAACAACUGCUUAAGAUGGAUAGGUAUCACAGAGUGGAGAAGCCGAAGGCGGAUACGCCGAUUGAUGCGAACGAGAUUCGAAUCACUAGUCAAGGCAGGGCACGAAACUACAUCACCUAUGCGAUGACUCUUCUUCAGGAAAAUGGUUCAAGUGAAGUUGUAUUCAAGGCAAUGGGAAGAGCUAUC